rnacentral:rRNA from 1 species
UGGCGUAACGGGUGAGUAAUAGUAUCGGAACGUACCUUUCGAGUGGGGGAUAACGUAGCGAAAGUUACGCUAAUAACCGCCAUAUUCUGUGAGCAGGAAAGCAGGGGAUCGCAAGACCCUUGCGCUGAUUGAGCGGCCGAUAUCAGAUUAGCUAGUUGGUGAGGUAAAGGCUUACCAAGGCGACGAUCUGUAGCGGGUCUGAGAGGAUGAUCCGCCACACUGGAACUGAGACACGGUCCAGACUCCUACGGGAGGCAGCAGUGGGGAAUUUUUGGACAAUGGGCGCCAAGCCUGAUCCCAGCCAUGCCGCGUGAGUGAAGAAGGCCUUCGGGUUGUAAAGCUCUUUCGGCCGGGAAGAAAUCGCACAGGUUAAUACCCUGUGUGGAUGACGGUACCGGAAUAAGAAGCACCGGCUAACUACGUG